rnacentral:rRNA from 1 species
CAGUAGCCGCGGUAAUACGGAGGGGGCUAGCGUUGUUCGGAAUUACUUGGCGUAAAGCGCACGUGGGCGGACCGGAAAGUCAGAGGUGAAAUCCCAGGGCUCGACCUUGGAACUGCCUUUGAAACUCCUGGUCUUGAGGUCGAGAGAGGUGAGUGGAAUUCCGAGUGUAGAGGUGAAAGUCGUAGAUAUUUGGAGGAACACCAGUGGCGAAGGCGGCUCACUGGCUCGAUACUGACGCUGAGGUGCGAAAGCGUGGGGAGCAAACAGGAUUAGAUACCCCCGUAGUCCCUGUCUCUUAUAC